GGAGAGGUGGCAGAGCGGUCGAAUGCGGCGGGCUUGAAAACCGUUGAAGGGUCAAACCUUCCGGGGGUUCGAAUCCCUCCCUCUCCGCCA
rnacentral:tRNA from 1 species